rnacentral:rRNA from 1 species
UACGUAGGGUGCAAGCGUUUAAUCGGAAUUACUGGGCGUAAAGCGUGCGCAGGCGGUUUUGUAAGUCAGAUGUGAAAUCCCCGGGCUUAACCUGGGAACUGCGUUUGAAACUACAAGGCUAGAGUGUGACAGAGGGGGGUGGAAUUCCACGUGUAGCAGUGAAAUGCGUAGAGAUGUGGAGGAACACCGAUGGCGAAGGCAGCCCCCUGGGAUAACACUGACGCUCAUGCACGAAAGCGUGGGGAGCAAACAGG